GGAUCAACCAGGUAGCAUUCCUCACCGACGUCGAUCGGCGUGAAGCAAUCCGUAAGGAAUCCACACAACCAAUACGAACGUCGUUCGCUCGUAGCGUCGAACGCUUUGUUUCGAGGGGCAAAUAGUGGCCGAGGCCUCGUGCCCACAACAUGUUCCGCAUCCGAGAUUCCGAGCAUCACCCCCUGGGUGCGCUACUCGAGCGCAUGCGCACACACGCACGAGUGCUAGCCACGAAGCAUGCUAUGAGUUCCAAUCCACACCACGACACCGGUGGGCGACGCGGAGCAGAAUGAAAAAGCGAUGAUUUUGCCGUCGUAAUGCCUUAAAGAUAGGUAUCGAGCACAGGAGGCCACAAUCGGACAGGGCUCACGAGCCCUUGAGCCGAUGAUUGAAGAGGCGCGGUUGGGAUG
rnacentral:misc_RNA from 1 species